ACAGUUACUUGUGAAAUCAGCAUGGCUGGAGAAACUGCUGUGGGAUCAAGAAUAUAUGAGGAUUUGUGAGGUGGAUUGUG